rnacentral:rRNA from 1 species
GCUUACGGCCACACUCCCUGAGCACGCCGAUCUCGUCUGAUCUCGGAAGCUAAGCAGGGUCGGGCUCCGGUAUACUUGGUGGGAGACCGCCUGGGAAUACCAGGUGCUGUAAGCC